UGUCGUCAGCUCGUGUUGUGAAAUGUUGGGUUAAGUCCCGCAACGAGCGCAACCCUUAUCCUUUGUUGCCAGCGGUUAGGCCGGGAACUCAAAGGAGACUGCCAGUGAUAAACUGGAGGAAGGUGGGGAUGACGUCAAGUCAUCAUGGCCCUUACGACCAGGGCUACACACGUGCUACAAUGGCGCAUACAAAGAGAAGCGACCUCGCGAGAGCAAGCGGACCUCAUAAAGUGCGUCGUAGUCCGGAUUGGAGUCUGCAACUCGACUCCAUGAAGUCGGAAUCGCUAGUAAUCGUGGAUCAGAAUGCCACGGUGAAUACGUUCCCGGGCCUUGUACACACCGCCCGUCACACCAUGGGAGUGGGUUGCAAAAGAAGUAGGUAGCUUAACCUUCGGGAGGGCGCUUACCACUUUGUGAUUCAUGACUGGGGUGAAGUCGUAACAAGGUAACCGUAGGGGAACCUGC
rnacentral:rRNA from 2 species